AUUGAACGCUGGCGGCAGGCCUAACACAUGCAAGUCGAACGAGUGGCGGACGGGUGAGUAAUGUCUGGGAAACUGCCUGAUGGAGGGGGAUAACUACUGGAAACGGUAGCUAAUACCGCAUACCAUCGGAUGUGCCCAGAUGGGAUUAGCUAGUUGGUGGGGUAACGGCUCACCAAGGCGACGAUCCCUAGCUGGUCUUAGAGGACGACCAGCCACACUGGAACUGAGACACGGGCCAGACUCCUACGGGAGGCAGCAGUGGGGAAUGUUGGACAAGGGGCGAAAGCCUGAUGCAGCCAUGCCGCGUGUGUGAAGAAGGCCUUCGGGUUGUAAAGUACUUUUGGCGGGAAAGCGGUACCUGCAGAAGAAGCACCGGCUAACUACGUGCCAGCAGCCGCGGUAAUAC
rnacentral:rRNA from 1 species